ACUGCCGUGGCAAAGUGGAUAGAGCAGCCUCUAUUAACACAGUGGUAUUUUACUGGUGGUAACUUUUAAUAGAUGUUCCUUCAUGUUACCACAGAGAGGGGACUCUAGAAGUAAAAGAGGGAUGAAAAUGUGGCACAUAAGAAAUCAGUGGGAACCAAUAUUUAUGCAUCCAUUUGACCAAGAAAGAUAAAGUACUCAAACAUGUUCUCCAAUGCAGUAAUGUAAGUGCCAAUUAUUAAAUUGAGAUUUUUUUCAUCACUACACUGGCUGCCUCAUACACAUAAUGUGAUGUUGCAAAAUGAGAAAACUGACAAGCGAGUAGAACAGACAUAAUUGCUUGAAAUUUAACUUCAGAAAGCAGAAAAAUUUCCCCAAACUUCAAAAAUGUCGACUUCUUUUGGUACAUCAUUUGUUGUUAUACUUGCUUUGUUUCAUUUGAAAAAAAGUAAUGUCUUUUAUUUGUGCCAGAAUCAUUUUUUUCUGCCACUGCAGUGUGCACAUCCAGACAGAUGCAAACACCUUUCAGUAAGGCUAUUUUAACCACUCCAAAAAAAAAA